rnacentral:rRNA from 1 species
UACGUAGGGCGCAAGCGUUGUCCGGAUUUAUUGGGCGUAAAGAGCUCGUAGGCGGUCUGUCGCGUCGGAUGUGAAAACCCGGAACUCAACUCCGGGCCUGCAUUCGAUACGGGCAGACUUGAGUACUGCAGGGGAGACUGGAAUUCCUGGUGUAGCGGUGGAAUGCGCAGAUAUCAGGAGGAACACCGGUGGCGAAGGCGGGUCUCUGGGCAGAAACUGACGCUGAGGAGCGAGAGCGUGGGGAGCGAACAGG